GCCAAGCUCAGAGCUCUUCUCUGCCGAAGUGAACUGGUGCAAGCAUGCGUGUAAGCACCCCUGAUUGUCCCCGGGGCCCUGGGCACCUUCCAGGGAAAGUGGCAGGUGACCAGGCCAGUUGUCCUGGUGGUUAGACACCAGGGCGUCUGUUUCCUAUGCUUCCCGGGGUGGGGGGUUAGUGGGGGAGAGGCGAGCAGAAGUACAGCGAGCUGUUGCCUCAGCACCCCUCACCACCUAACAAAGGUCUGUGACAGAGUAUGCAGACGGUUUUAAGUCUGAGGCUGGUGACACAGUGAACCAGAUGAUUGAUUAAUUCCACAAAGACUGGUGAGCAUUUCCAUGUCCUACGCAUUGGUCUGGACGUUGGGGAUAUGAAAGGAUACACAACAGAUGCUUUUACUGCUCUCGUUUGGUUUAUGUUCUUGUUGGCUGAGAAAGACAAAAGCCAAGUACUAAAAAGCCUAGCGAGCCAGGAAGACUGACGGCAACAGGACUGUGUGGGAGGGACAUGGUGGGCAGUGGACCUCGUCUGAGCAGAGCUAGAGAAAGCCAGGGAGAAGCCCUGCAAACAUCUGUGGGAAGCAAGCACCGGAGGUGCAAAGGCCCUGUCUCCGCGGUGGGGCACUGGGAAAGCAAGACGACGGAGUUGUGUUAACGGGGCCCCAUCUGCUAAGGGCUAAGGAGCUCUGGGUACUUCCCCUCGCCACCCAGCCGAACGAAGGAGUAUCGGUUUGCAUACACGGAUGAUUGCUCUGGAGGUGAAAUGCUGAGCAAGACCUACCCUUUCCGUCGUGCCUCCGUAACAGAAUGGCUGACAACCCAAAAGCACAGUUGCUGGUAUUCUUACAGGAGCUUUCUAAAUUCACCAUUUUAGAUCUCUUGAAAGAAAUGUCUGAUUGUUGGACAUGUAUUUUGUUGAUUACCAUAAAACUCAAUGUUUGCAUAUUCGUUGCUAUGAAACUGGAGAUGAAGUUUCUUCAAGAAUAUUUACUUCUGGAGACAUUUCUGCUUCUCAUCAGCUCUGUGUGCUGGAAAAGAGCGGUCUGGUGGGCAGUGAGCUGGUGGGGAAGGAGGCAUCCCUGACGGGGUCGCAGAAUGUCGGGGACCCGCUAGCCUGGACGAAGACUUGCUCCAGGAUUAGAAUGCUUAAUGUUAUGCGUCAACUGGACUGAUUCACAGGGGGGCCAGCUACCCAGUUAAAUGUUAUUCUGGGCGUGUCUGUGAGGGAGUUUCCAGAUGAGGCUGGCAUUUGAAAGGGUGGACUGAACAAAGCAGAUUCCCCUCCCCAGUGUCGGGGCUCAUCCCAUCUCUCUAGGGCCAGCAGAAGACAAAAAGUGGAGGAAAGUUUGAUCUGCUCUUUCUGCCUGGCUGUGGAGCUGGGAUAUCAGGCUUCUCCUGUCUUUGGAUUGUCACUGACCCCACCAGCCCUCCCAGGUCUCCAGCUUGGCAGACCGAGGGACUUUCCGGCCUUCACAAUAGCAUGAGCCAGCUCCUUGUCGUAAAUCUUCUGCAGGAUAGCUCAGUGGUUGUGCUUCUCUGGAGAACUCUAAUACAAGAGUCAUUUAAAAUUAAUAUCUAAACGAAGCAAGAUUCAGACUAUGCACUUUUAAAAUGUCCAAGUAGAAGCUGAGAUGAGAAAACAAAUAUUGACUCAUCUUAGUACAUAACAGGCUUGUACCCUAUAAUAAGGGAAGUAAAUUUUUAAAAAGAGGAAACUGUGACUUGUAAAAAUGUAUACCUUAAACGACUUUUAAAACUAGUUAACCAGUUCCCCUUUUUUUUUCCUUUCAAGAGCAUCCAUUAUGACAUUUUCUAAUAAAAAAAUCAGACAUUUAGAAUAAGGGAAUUUGUUAAAUAUUAUCAGAACUGGUUAUUUGAGAGAAUAUAAUUUUAACCAUUUCUACAUUACAUCAGAAGUUCUGUGAUAAUUGCUUUGAAUUGACUCAGGUUACUUUCUUGAUGUAUUAAUAAUGGUCAUUAUUCUAUUUAG